rnacentral:tRNA from 1 species
GAUUAGCUCAGCGGGAGAGCGCUUCCCUGACACGGAAGAGGUCACUGGUUCAAUCCCAGUAUC